UCUGACAGGACUUGUAAGUUCUCCCAUUAUUCUUUGUUUCAGCUUGGAAAACAAGUAGAGCAAAUGGAAGAUACUCUGUUUGAAUUGCAGGAUUAUUCCUGAAAGGAUUCCUGAUGACUCCAGUGCCUUUUUGCCAGCAGGCAACCAGAAACAUCCCCAGGUAUUCAAAGCAGAGGUGAUGUUGGGAAUGGAAAAAGGCAAACUUUAUCCCAAGUAGCUUGAGGCCACUCCGGAAACUUUGUCCUGGGAGUCCCUGCUGGAUUCUGCACCAAGCUUCUCUGGUGAUCUGCACGUGGCCAUCCCUGGUUGCCAUCACCAGACCUGCUCUGCUCUUCAUUAUUAGGUGCUGUGGUAUCACAGGCCUUGUCAACGAAGCCAUCACCUUGCCAGCCUGGCUGUCACCCUCUGCUCCCUACCUCGCCCUAACUUCUUCCUGAAACCGAGAUUGUUGUGUUUGUCCAGCUGUCAAAUUUAUUGAUCAAACAAAAGCAGUGGAGUCUCAAGCAAUAUGGAAGUGGCAAAGUGGGUGAGGCAAGACCAGUUGUCAGGACUCUGCUCCCUAUUUUCUGAUUAC
rnacentral:lncRNA from 1 species